GGCCUAACACAUGCAAGUCGAGGGGUAUGCUUCUUCGGAAGCAGAGACCGGCGCACGGGUGCGUAACGCGUAUGCAAUCUACCUUUUACAGAGGGAUAGCCCAGAGAAAUUUGGAUUAAUACCUCAUAGCAUAGCAGUCUCGCAUGAGAUCACUAUUAAAGUCACAACGGUAAAAGAUGAGCAUGCGUCCCAUUAGCUAGUUGGUAAGGUAACGGCUUACCAAGGCUACGAUGGGUAGGGGUCCUGAGAGGGAGAUCCCCCACACUGGUACUGAGACACGGACCAGACUCCUACGGGAGGCAGCAGUGAGGAAUAUUGGACAAUGGGCGCAAGCCUGAUCCAGCCAUGCCGCGUGCAGGAUGACGGUCCUAUGGAUUGUAAACUGCUUUUAUACGAGAAGAAACACUGCUUCGUGAAGCAGCUUGACGGUAUCGUAAGAAUAAGGAUCGG
rnacentral:rRNA from 1 species